UUGGAGGGCAAGUCUGGUGCCAGCAGCCGCGGUAAUUCCAGCUCCAAUAGCGUAUAUUAAAGUUGUUGCAGUUAAAAAGCUCGUAGUUGAAUUUCGGGAUCAGUUGGUCGGUCGUGCCUCGGUACGUACUGGUCAAAUUGAUUCCUACCUUCUGACGAACCACGAUGUCAUUAAUUUGGUGUCGCGGGAAAUCAGGACUGUUACUUUGAAAAAAUUAGAGUGUUUAAAGCAGGCUCGCGCUUGAAUACAUUAGCGUGGAAUAAUGAAAUAGGACGUUUGAUUCUAUUUUGUUGGUUUCUAGGAUCGACGUAAUGAUUAAUAGGGAUAGUUGGGGGCAUUAGUAUUCAAUUGUCAGAGGUGAAAUUCUUGGAUUUAUUGAAGACUAACUACUGCGAAAGCAUUUGCCAAGGAUGUUUUCAUUAAUCAAGAACGAAAGUUAGGGGAUCGAAGACGAUCAGAUACCGUCGUAGUCUUAACCAUAAACUAUGCCGACUAGGGAUCGGAUGAUGUUAAUUUUUUAAUGACUCAUUCGGCGCCUUACGGGAAAC
rnacentral:rRNA from 1 species